UGCAAGUCGAGCGGUAACAUUUCGAAAGCUUGCUUUCGUUGAUGACGAGCGGCGGACGGGUGAGUAAUGCCUGGGAAUAUGCCUUGAUGUGGGGGAUAACCAUUGGAAACGAUGGCUAAUACCGCAUAAUGCCUACGGGCCAAAGAGGGGGAUCUUCGGACCUCUCGCGUCAAGAUUAGCCCAGGUGGGAUUAGCUAGUUGGUGAGGUAAUGGCUCACCAAGGCGACGAUCCCUAGCUGGUCUGAGAGGAUGAUCAGCCACACUGGAACUGAGACACGGUCCAGACUCCUACGGGAGGCAGCAGUGGGGAAUAUUGCACAAUGGGCGCAAGCCUGAUGCAGCCAUGCCGCGUGUGUGAAGAAGGCCUUCGGGUUGUAAAGCACUUUCAGUCGUGAGGAAGGUAGUUGCGUUAAUAGCGUAAUUAUUUGACGUUAGCGACAGAAGAAGCACCGGCUAACUCCGUGCCAGCAGCCGCGGUAAUACGGAGGGUGCGAGCGUUAAUCGGAAUUACUGGGCGUAAAGCGCAUGCAGGUGGUUUGUUAAGUCAGAUGUGAAAGCCCGGGGCUCAACCUCGGAAUUGCAUUUGAAACUGGCAGACUAGAGUACUGUAGAGGGGGGUAGAAUUUCAGGUGUAGCGGUGAAAUGCGUAGAGAUCUGAAGGAAUACCGGUGGCGAAGGCGGCCCCCUGGACAGAUACUGACACUCAGAUGCGAAAGCGUGGGGAGCAAACAGGAUUAGAUACCCUGGUAGUCCACGCCGUAAACGAUGUCUACUUGGAGGUUGUGGCCUUGAGCCGUGGCUUUCGGAGCUAACGCGUUAAGUAGACCGCCUGGGGAGUACGGUCGCAAGAUUAAAACUCAAAUGAAUUGACGGGGGCCCGCACAAGCGGUGGAGCAUGUGGUUUAAUUCGAUGCAACGCGAAGAACCUUACCUACUCUUGACAUCCAGAGAAGCCAGCGGAGACGCAGGUGUGCCUUCGGGAACUCUGAGACAGGUGCUGCAUGGCUGUCGUCAGCUCGUGUUGUGAAAUGUUGGGUUAAGUCCCGCAACGAGCGCAACCCUUAUCCUUGUUUGCCAGCGAGUAAUGUCGGGAACUCCAGGGAGACUGCCGGUGAUAAACCGGAGGAAGGUGGGGACGACGUCAAGUCAUCAUGGCCCUUACGAGUAGGGCUACACACGUGCUACAAUGGCGCAUACAGAGGGCUGCCAACCAGCGAUGGUGAGCGAAUCCCAAAAAGUGCGUCGUAGUCCGGAUUGGAGUCUGCAACUCGACUCCAUGAAGUCGGAAUCGCUAGUAAUCGUGGAUCAGAAUGCCACGGUGAAUACGUUCCCGGGCCUUGUACACACCGCCCGUCACACCAUGGGAGUGGGCUGCAAAAGAAGUGGGUAGUUUAACCUUUCGAGGAGGACGCUCACCAC
rnacentral:rRNA from 1 species